AUUUUUUUUUUAAAGAAAAAUGGUGAUCAUUAUUUAAAUUCUUUAAGGAACUCUAAACAUUCAAUUUCUUGUAAGACUCCUUAAUUUCUUUGAGCUUGUAAAUCUUACAUUUGUAAUGUACAUUAUGUGUAUAUAAGCAGUGGUAGCACAACAGCUUUUUGUAACAACAAACUAACUGAAUAUGGUCCAAACUCUCAGCAUCCUACUAAAUGAGCUGUUCUGUGAAAGUAUACAAAAUGACCGAGAGACAGAGUGCACCUUAAAACACUCACUGUACCAAUUCUGACCGCAGCCUGCUGUGCUGUAGCCAAUUAAGACAGUUAUAUUUUAGGAUGCAUAAUUCAGCAAUCUCUGUCAAGUAAAAGUGAUAUUUUUGUAUGCUGUUUCAUUACAAAUCACUUAUACAGAACAUGUAAACAUCUGAGGGUUAGAACCUUAUUCUGGUUUCCUUGGUUACACUAAACAAUAAUUUAAAAAGUAACAGAAAGGAAUACUGUUGCUUUUGUAUAAUGAUAUGAAAAAUAUGUUGGCGAUGUUGUGAAGGACAUUAAAGAGCUUGACUUCAUUCUAGAGAAAGACUGUCAUCUUUCAUAGGAUCCAUGUGAAACGCAGCCACUGAAACGCUGCCAUUACGGACGUUGAUGCCAGACGAUCUGCAAGGGAAGGUAACUUUGAGGUUAUUUGUCAAUGUCUGUUAGCAUUCAAGGACAACAAUAAACCAUAAAGUUUAUUUGAAAACGGUUGAGGUCAGAAGAGUCUUGCGAACCAUGGAGAAACCUGGAGUUAAGCCCAGCUGCUCUAAGAUCCUCCCAAAGCUAUGCACUGUCAACCUCAGUUUCUGCACUGGGAUCAACCAUGUUUCCAGAGACCUUCUGACUUUGGGACUAAACGCAUGUUUUAUCCGAACUGUAACAGCGACGAAAGAGUUUUGUGGGAUUACAAGGUACAAGUGCUCAGGCUGUCUGUGUUUCUACAGUGAACUUGAGCAGUUGAUGACACACAUCGAGCAGGGCUGGAGAGAAGGCUACAGCUGUAGAGCAUUCUACCGUAAGCUGAAGGACAUGAAGGACUGCAGGGAGUUACUGACUGUACAGGAAGAAAAAGAAGAAGCUCCAGCUUCUGAAAGUGACCCUCAGCUCUGUGCCUCCUUGGCUCUGAGGCAGAGCAAUAGAGAUGAGAAGCUGGACAUGGUCCUCAAGUGGCUGCAGGAGUGCCUGUCAAGUUGCUGGCAAUAAUUUCAUUAAAACAUUUAUGGCUGCA